AAUGUUCCAGUAUAAAGAGCCUGUAAAGAGAAUGGAUUGUAAUGUACAGACAGUGUUUUGAACUGAUGCACAUAAUAUUCCAUCAGACUC